GGCACUGUGGCGGAGUGGUUAACGCGACAGAUUCGAAUCCCCCAAAUCUGUUCCUCUUGUAGGGCGCAUGUUCGAAUCAUGCCAGUGUCG